GUCAAGAUAGCUCAGUUUGUAGAGCAGAGGACUGGAAAUCCUCAUGUCACCAAUUCAAAUCUAGUUCCUGGCA
rnacentral:tRNA from 1 species